UGUCUGUACCCCAGCUCAGGAAGCAGGGCAGGGGGACAAGCAGAUUCCACGAGACAGCAAGUCUAGCUGAAACCGAGCUCCAGGUUCAGUGAGAGAUCCCACUGAAAAAAUAAGUUGGAGAAGAAUAGUGAUCAUGGGUCUCUGGCCUCUAUAUGGACACAAAUGGGGCAUGCAUGCAAAUAAAUUCACAGGCACACGCACAUGCACACACUCACACACGAGCACGUUCACUCGCUACACCUCAAACAAACAGCAUACAGCUGAGCCACAGUGUGUAUGGACCUUGUACUCUGACCGAGUCGUGGAGUCGGAACGGAACUAAAAAAAAAAAAAAAGUGACAGUGUAACUGAGAAAGUUCCCGUCCCGCCGUGUCUGGUGGCAUAGGCAUCCGUGAGGCCGUGAGACCGUGUUUGAAGAUAAAGACAGGCUGGGAUGCCCUUCAGUGAGGGAGGUUCAGCCUCACCACCACAAUAAAGAGGGGGGGGAGGGAAGGAAGGAGGGGAGGGCCUAGUUCUGGGGCUGUGAGAGGGCCAAUACUCUGAGACAAAGUGGUGGAGAAGGAAGCUGAUCUCGAGGCUGGCGUGGUCGGAGGGAGAGCAGCUCACACCUGUGACUCUUUUGCUUCGCUGAGAGUACGGCACAUCUUGAGAACUGUUAUCAUCCCAAUUCUUUAAAGGAGCUAUUUUCAUUUCUUUAAAUUAUGUGGAUGGCUGUAGGUUCAUGUGCGGGUUUUUGCAGGCAGUGCAAGCACCCACAGAGGCCAGGGGUGCUGGAUCCCCUGGGGCUGGAGCCAUAAGCAGCCAUCCAUCCGAUGUGGGUGCUGGGAAUCUAACUUGAGUUUUCUGCAAGAACAAUAGAUGCUCUGAUUGCUGGGCUCUCUCUCCCGCUGGUCAUAGCAUGUUUCGUUACCUCAGCUUCAGGCAGCUGGGUACCAGGGUAGUUCAUUAGCCUUGAAAACUAACCAAUUCUGAUAUACGGGCUGUGAGCCUUUGAUAUCUGUCUGGAGGUGACUGAGUCAUGUUGCCCCUGUGAGUCUUAGCGAUUGUUCUAAGCUUGGCUUCUGAAGGUGUGAGGUCUGGUGUGCAGCUAACCUUUUCUUUGUGAUUUUUUUCUACAGCCUGAGAAGGAGCACCACACAGGAAAGGGUUGGUGCAUUUCAACUAGUUCUACAUCUUGUUGUUAAGACACGGGGCAAGAUGCCCAGCAAAACAAGAUUUUGCCUGUAAAUUGAAAAGAAGAAUGUCGGGAGGAAAUUCCAGGAGCUUAAGCGGCAGUGCACACGUGUGUGUUGUGGAGUAGACGGAAUCAGUAUUCUGUAAUACAGAAGGGAGCAGUGUGGUGAGACAAAAGGCCAGCCAUAAAUGGGUGUGCCCCACAGUGGCCAAAUAAAGGUGUUUAGGAAUGGAGGUGGCAGUCGGUGAGCCCCUGAAAUGUCUGAAGCUGGGACAGUGUGGAGAAAUCACAUGGAUUCCCGACACACUGGAGGUUGUGGAGAAGCAGUGCAGCGAACACCUUCUGUUCCACAGAUAGCUUCUCAUCCUAAUGUGAUUGAUUUCCCCGUUUUCUCCAGGGAUUAUUUGAAGUGGACAGCAAAAGAAAUCCAGGCCAUCAACACCUUUGGUGAAAAGAAAUACUAGGACUUCGGUCUUGGGCCCAGGCCCACUGCUGACAGCAUGAUGGAAGGAUGCACUUGCGGUCUAGACUCCCCCUCCCGCCUCCUGGAGUGGGGGUGAGGCGGCGUGGGCAACGGUUGGGAAGCUGUCUGGAGGCCUCUUGCAGAGACAUCAGAAUGCUUUGUUAGAACAAGCGCUGGGGAUCCAUCCUGUGGCUCACCCUAUCAAGCUGAAACCGGAUGUUGCUGCCAAGUUCUUUGGAAGGCUAAACAUUGUUGCCCUUGAACAUCUGCGUCUGCAAAAAGUUCUAGAUGUCAACCUUGUGACUAUACUAAUAAAAUCCUUGAAAGGUGAACAGAGGACAAACUGUACCAAGCCUCUGGUCCAAUGGCAUCCUGGAGUGGAGGGGGCUGCUCUGUGCGUCCUGGAGGUCUCACCCUAACAUGCGUCAGGGCAGAGGAAGUCUUGAGAACCUUGUGGACUUAUCUGUGGCAUCUUGAGAUCCCGAAGAAUUCAAAGAGUUUUCCGCUGGUUACAGGGAGUGUUGGUGCCUAUGAAUCAAGCUUUACUCCCUCAGGAAAAGCCCUUCCACUGAGACAAGCCAAACACUGCAUGGUUUGGACUUCCUCCUGCACACCUCCCACCUAUGAUUUUGGAGGAAUCGUCCUGGCAGCACUCUGUCCACACACUGUACGUACUCUCUUCGGAUAACUUGGGAUCUGGUUGUCCUUGCUCUGCACAUUAUGAUCUGCAGUCAUUAAAUCUGUGAGAGUCACCUCCUUGAUAGCUCAAAA
rnacentral:sRNA from 1 species